AAAAAUUUUAGAGCUCUUCAUCUUUCAUCAUCGGAGCUUCCCCAUUUCGAAAUUUCUCAGAGCCAUUUUAUCACCGAAGCUUCAUAUUUCAUCGCAUGAGCUUCCCCAUUUCAAAAUUUCUCAAACCCGUUUCAUCACCAGAGCUUCCUGAUUUUGAAAUUUCUCAGAGUCGUUUCAUCGCCGGAGCUUCAUCUUUCUUCAUCUCUAGCUGUGUUCCCCCUUUCGAAAUUUCUCUGAGCCGUUUCAUCACCUGGAGAUUCAUCUCUACCUGUGUUUUCUGUUAUACCCCUCUACGAAACAUUGAGCCGUUUUCGCCAUUUCGAAAUUUAUCAGAGUUGUUUCAUCACCGGAACUUGAUCUCUACCUGUGUUCGUCAUUUCAUCACCGGAGCUUCAUCUCUACCUAUGUUCGGUCGAUUGGAAACCUCCGUCUUCCCCAUUUCGAUUUGUUAGAGCUUCUUGCAUUCGUCGUCCGGUCGAAGUCGAGUUUCGUCACCGGUCGAAGGAAGGUCGAUGUCCCAUUUUGACCGGUCUGCUUCAUCUUCUAUCUCCUUCUUCCCCUGUCUUUGAACAUUGGAAGGAUUCAUAGAGGCCCCUUUGUUCAUUGGUAAAAGGUUUUGCAAUUUACCAGCCAUCGUGCACCCCCCAUCCUAUUCCAAUCAUCCUGGGCAUGCCAGAGAUCAAAAACUCUGCUAGAUAUUUGGUAGAUUAUAGUGGGAAUUGUUCCUCCAAUACCAGUUCCAUUGCUCUGAAUGCGCAAGCAAGGUUGAGAAAAAAAUUUGCACCAUUUGUUCCUGGGAUCACCGGUUGGUCAUUUGAAUUCAUGGAGUCAGCCCCCCAACAAGUUGGGUACAUGUUCAACGCUUAGGCGUAGGAGGGAAUUAUCAAUAUUAUUAGGUGGCAGAUAAGGGCUCAACUCAUUCGGAACCAUAUCCCAUGAAUUGCACAUGUUAAGCGGAUGAUAGAAAACCUUUUAUUUUUGCUUUCUCUCAUCUUACCAGUGUGAGAAUAUAUUAACAUUGUAAAUUAUUGUAUAGAUCCAAUGAUUGAGUAGCUCUAACUAUAUAAA